rnacentral:rRNA from 1 species
UUGAAGAUUGUAACCUUGGGGUUGGCUCUUGUCUAUGUUUCUUGGAACAGGACGUCACAGAGGGUGAGAAUCCCGUGCGAUGAGAUGCCCAAUUCUAUGUAAGGUGCUUUCGAAGAGUCGAGUUGUUUGGGAAUGCAGCUCUAAGUGGGUGGUAAAUUCCAUCUAAAGCUAAAUAUUGGCGAGAGACCGAUAGCGAACAAGUACAGUGAUGGAAAGAUGAAAAGAACUUUGAAAAGAGAGUGAAAAAGUACGUGAAAUUGUUGAAAGGGAAGGGUUUGAGAUCAGACUCGAUAUUUUGUGAGCCUUGCCUUCGUGGCGGGGUGACCCGCAGCUUAUCGGGCCAGCAUCGGUUUGGGCGGUAGGAUAAUGGCGUAGGAAUGUGACUUUACUUCGGUGAAGUGUUAUAGCCUGCGUUGAUGCUGCCUGCCUAGACCGAGGACUGCGAUUUUUAUCAAGGAUGCUGGCAUAAUGAUCCCCAAACCGCCCGUCUUGAAACACGGACC